GCUGCCCGCUCGUACGCGACCCCAGGUCAGGCGGGGCUACCCGCUGAGUUUAAGCAUAUCAAUAAGCGGAG
rnacentral:rRNA from 1 species